AACACUCAACUCGGGAUUGGCACCCAGCCAGUGCCCUACACUAUACAAGAUGCCACUGUAGGGACAGGGAUGACCUCUAGCAAGGUGACCCUCAGUGGGCCAGAGGGGGCUUCUGAAGAGAAUUUCUCUAGCUUCUUGGUGUUUCCUGCCUGCUACUUUCAAACAAGGGUCCCAUUUUUAAUGUUUUCCCAGUAAUACCUUAUGAAUGUUAUUGCAAAGCAGCGGGCUAAAUCAACACCACAGGCCCCGUGAUCAAUAUAUGUGAUGAGGACAUUACAUCCUGGUGUUGUUGCCCCAAGUCUUGACGUGAAUCUGACCACAAGGACAAUUCGGACAACCUGAAAUGGUGACGCAUUCUACAAAAUAAACAUCAAUGUCAUGAAAGACAAAGACUCAAGAUUUUCUGCUUAAUGGAGACUAAAGAGAUGCGACAACAGAAUGCCAGGCAUGAUCUUGGAUAUUCUUUUGGCUCAAACAGUCUUAGGACAAUUGAAAAAACGUGAAUGAGGUCUGUAGCUAAUAGAAUUGUGUCAAU
rnacentral:lncRNA from 1 species